GACAGAGGGUGCAAACGUUGCUCGGAAUCACUGGGCGUAAAGCGCACGUAGGCGGAUUGCUAAGUCAGGGGUGAAAUCCUGGAGCUCAACUCCAGAACUGCCUUUGAUACUGAAGAUCUUGAGUUCGGGAGAGGUGAGUGGAACUGCGAGUGUAGAGGUGAAAUUCGUAGAUAUUCGCAAGAACACCAGUGGCGAAGGCGGCUCACUGGCCCGAUACUGACGCUGAGGCACGAAAGCGUGGGGAGCAAACAGG
rnacentral:rRNA from 1 species